AGCAGUAGCCGCGGGAAUACGAAGGGUGCAAGCGUUAAUCGGAAUCACUGGGCGUAAAGCGUGCGUAGGCGGUUUGUUAAGUCUGCUGUGAAACCCCCGGGCUCAACCUGGGAAUGGCAGUGGAUACUGGCAAGCUAGAGUGUGUCAGAGGAUGGUGGAAUUCCCGGUGUAGCGGUGAAAUGCGUAGAGAUCUGGAGGAAUACCGAUGGCGAAGGCAGCCAUCUGGCCUAAUACUGACGCUGAGGUACGAAAGCAUGGGGAGCAAACAGGAUUAGAUACCCGCGUAGUCCCUGUCUCUUAUAC
rnacentral:rRNA from 1 species